GAACUUCUAAUGUGCAUGAAAAGUCACCUGCAAUCUUGCUAAGAGCCUCUCUGUUGCCUCCAAAUAUGCCAUGACCACUGUAAGCAUAGGCAAUAAGAAGGAAUGCACCCAGAAGGAUGAGGCCAACAGACAACAAAGGAGAAGAGCGCGAUUUAGAAUGUAAUGCCCCGGCUAAAGGGAAGUUGCCGGUGUCGACAAAUCGGCGAGUAGAGCUUACUUGCCUCCUUGACAUGAUCUUCUAAGAGUCUACUAGGUAGCUAAGUGAAUGUGAAUUAUACCUAUGAGUUAGUGUUGAGCCAUAGAAUUAGAUGNCGCAAUAGCGUAAAAUUUGAUGAGGUCAGGUCAUUAUAUUGAAUAGCGCAAUGACUUCAUGAACACAUUGAAGCUGAGAGAGAAAGCGAAUAGGAGAAUAGAAGAGAAGUGACGGAUUGCUGAAUACCAUAGAAUUAGAUGGAGGAAUGAAAAGA
rnacentral:misc_RNA from 1 species